CAUCUACAUACACCCACCUACAUCUGCCCCAUCUACAUACACCCACCUACAUCUGCCCCCAUCUACAUACACCCACCUACAUCUGCCCCCAUCUACAUACACCCACCUACAUCUGCCCCCAUCUACAUACACCCACCUACAGACACACCAAUGUAUGUUAUAUCAAAAACAUACAGUUGAGUUCCUUCUCUCAUAGUGAAUAACAAAAUAUUCGUGAUGAUUUCACAGCGAGUCACGUCUGUGAUUCCUGGUGCCAUACCGGGGCUCCUCCGUCAGGUACCAGGGCUCCCCCGUCAGGUACCGGGGCUCCUCCGUCAGGUACCGGGGCUCCUCCGUCAGGUACCGGGGCUCUCCCGUCAGGUACCGGGGCUCCGGAGCCUGCAGGCUGACGCACACAUAAUGGAGCCUAAGUGUGCUUGUAUUUCUUCUAAGUCGUUAGAUUUAGGUCAAUGCAUGAAUACAUAAUGGUAUAUGUUGUUUCCUCAGAUUGAUUCAUUCCAUGUAUCAUGAUAUUUAUUGCAGUGUGUGUAUGUAUAUGUAUCAAAGCUUUAUCUGUGUGUAAAUAAAAUUAUUUGCUCUUCAUUUCUGUAUAAAAACAAAUGUGCAAUUUUAUCUCAAAUAGAUGUUCAAAUCUUA